GUCAUCGCUGUGACCUCUGGGCUGCUUCUCCUGCUGGCGGUGGUGUGCGCGAUCGCCUGGUGGCAGUCACGUAAGAGAGGGGGAAGUGGCAUGGGGUCGCAGCCACAGGACCAAAGACCAGAGGACCAGAGAGCCAGUGUGGGUGGUUCUGAUGUCGAAUACAAUACAGUGGUUUUCAAAAGAAGAAGCAAGGAAAGAGAUGCUCACCAG